UACAGAGGUCUCAAGCGUUGUUCGGAUUCAUUGGGCGUAAAGGGUGCGCAGGCGGCGGUUCGCGUGGCGAGAUGAAAUCUCCUGGCUUACCUGGGAGGGUGGUCGCCAGACGGGAUCGCUUGAGGGUCGGAGAGGGGCGUGGAAUUCCGGGUGGAGCGGUGAAAUGCGUAGAGAUCCGGAGGAACACCGACGGCGUAGGCAGCGCCCUGGACGACACCUGACGCUGAGGCACGAAAGCUGGGGGAGCGAACAGG
rnacentral:rRNA from 1 species